GCAUAACGCGAAGAACCUUACCUAGGCUUGAACUCCUACGAACCUGCUGUAAUGGACGGGGUGCCCGCAAGGGAAUGUAGUGAGAGGUGCUGCAUGGCUGUCGUCAGCUCGUGUUGUGAAAUGUUGGGUUAAGUCUCGCAACGAGCGCAACCCCUAUCGUCUGUUGCCAGCAUUUAGUUGGGCACUCUGACGAGACUGCCUGGGUUAACCAGGAGGAAGGUGGGGAUGACGUCAAGUCCUCAUGGCCCUUAUGUCUAGGGCUACACACGUAAUACAAUGGCGCGUACAAAGGGAAGCGAACUCGCAAGGGGAAGCAAAUCUCAAAAAGCGCGCCUCAGUUCGGAUUGGAGUCUGCAACUCGACUCCAUGAAGUUGGAAUCGCUAGUAAUCGGAGAUCAGCACGCUCCGGUGAAUACGUUCCCGGGUCUUGUACACACCG
rnacentral:rRNA from 1 species